GGGUUGGUCGUAUAGUGGCAAUUAUAUCUGACUCUUAAUCAGAAAGACGUGGGUUCGAGUCCCACCUGACCCACCA
rnacentral:tRNA from 1 species